GCCGGUGUGGCUCAGUGGUGAGAGCACCCGCCUGUCGAGCGGGGGGUCGCGGGUUCGAUUCCCGUCACCGGCGC
rnacentral:tRNA from 1 species